rnacentral:rRNA from 1 species
GACGGAGGAUGCAAGUGUUAUCCGGAAUCACUGGGCGUAAAGCGUCUGUAGGUGGUCAAAUAAGUCAACUGUUAAAUCUUGAGGCUCAACCUCAAAAUCGCAGUCGAAACUAUUAGACUAGAGUAUAGUAGGGGUAAAGGGAAUUUCCAGUGGAGCGGUGAAAUGCGUAGAGAUCCGGAGGAACCCCAGAGGCGAAGGCGGCGCCCUGGCUCGCAACUGACGCUCAGACACGACAGCAUGGGGAGCGAACGGG